AUUAUUAUAUCAUAAAAGUGAAUUAAUUUUAGAAAUUAAACAUAUAUAUAAUUAAUUAUAUUAAUAAUA
rnacentral:tRNA from 1 species